rnacentral:rRNA from 1 species
AUUGAACGCUGGCGGCAUGCUUUACACAUGCAAGUCGAACGGUAACAGGCCUUCGGGUGCUGCCGAGUGGCGAACGGGUGAGUAAUGCAUCGGAACGUGCCCAGAGGUGGGGGAUAACGCAGCGAAAGCUGUGCUAAUACCGCAUGUGAUCUGAGGAUGAAAGCGGGGGACCAGGCAGCAAUGUUUGGCCUCGCGCCUUUGGAGCGGCCGAUGUCAGAUUAGGUAGUUGGUGGGGUAAAGGCCUACCAAGCCGACGAUCUGUAGCUGGUCUGAGAGGACGACAAGCCACACUGGGACUGAGACACGGCCCAGACUCCUACGGGAGGCAGCAGUGGGGAAUUUUGGACAAUGGGCGCAAGCCUGAUCCAGCAAUGCCGCGUGCGGGAAGAAGGCCUUCGGGUUGUAAACCGCUUUUGUACGGAACGAAAAGGCUCUGGCUAAUACCUGGGGCUGAUGACGGUACCGUAAGAAUAAGCACCGGCUAACUACGUG